rnacentral:rRNA from 1 species
UGGGCGAGAGACCGAUAGCAAACAAGUACCGCGAGGGAAAGAUGAAAAGGACUUUGAAAAGAGAGUCAAAGAGUGCUUGAAAUUGUCGGGAGGGAAGCGAAUGGGGGCCGGCGAUGCGCCUCGGUCGGAUGUGGAGCGGUGAAAGCUGGUCCGCCAAUCGACUCGGGGUGUGGAUCGGUGCGGAUUGGGACGGAGGCCAAAGCCCAGGGAGUCGUUAAACCUGUGGAGACGCCUUCGCCUCGAUCGUGGCGGGCAGCGUGCGCCUUCCGGCGUGCUUCGGCAUCUGCGCGCUCCCGG